GAGCCGCGUGGUGUAGUGGUUAAGUGCUUGCACUGCCACUCACGUGGUCAGGAGUUUGAGCCUCCUGUGGGUCA
rnacentral:tRNA from 1 species